GUGAAUCAUCGAAUCUUUGAACGCAAAUUGCACUCUCUGGUAUUCCGGAGAGUAUGCCUGUUUGAGGGUCAGUAAAUAUAAAAAUCGGGGUGGCUGCUGCCUUUCGUGGUGACGCAGCUGAUUGGGGUUGUCUUGCCUUCGGUUAAGUGACCUAAAAUUUUGCAUGAUUUUUUUUGAACGUAUUUAAAUGAUUUUAGGUACGUUUGCGGUAUCGAGUACUAGGUGUGGUAAUCAUCA
rnacentral:misc_RNA from 1 species